UUCUACCAUCCUGAAUCAUUUGUUCCUUUAACAAAUCCCACAAGCGACAUAAAUUGUUUGCGUUGAUAGAAACAAAUAUGAGGUGAUAUGAGUAUAUUAUGAUCUUGUCCAUAUAAAAUUCACCAUUUCCAAAACAAUAAAGUUCAUGACCAAUUUCUCAUGUGUUAACUUAUGGUAUAAUUCACCGAUCUCUGUCAGAAAUUCCCAUUUGAAAGGUGUUGUCACGACUGUAUUCAUGAUUCAUCUCAGUCGCACUCAGAAACGUCGUCAAAAAUAUAGACACGUUUCUUUACGGUUGAGUUCAUUUGAAUGUAAAAGAGGUCCCCAACAUUCUCAAACAUGUGCUUUUGCUUAAAAUACCAUAUUUGACUUGAUUUGUACCUCUAUUGCGAGAUAACAGAACAAAACAGUUGAAAAUACCGUAUUAAUCACAAUAGCUCACUCCUCAAGGCGGUAAUGUAGCAGCUUGAAUAAGAUUGUUUUCUAUUGGUCAGAGUACUAAUUGGGUAGCGAAGGUAGCAAACCAAUAGGAAGCCAGAGAUUGUCAACAUUUACCUUUGAACUUCCGGUUUAUUUGUAAGAUCAUGAACAAGCAACUGGCCAAGAAAUUGAGCAAAAAUCUUUGUUUCUAAACUUGAAUGUAUUAAUAAAUCGUUCUGUGUAUGCAAUGUAAGUAUCAUUUAAUAAUGAGUAGCGUAAAGAUGUAAACGCACUUUUUGCGGCUUAUUACAGUAAAAGCAAGUAUUGUAUUGUUUGUCACGUUGUUAAAUUCGCUAAACUUCUGUGUGAAUGUGAUAGACUACCUGGCGUUCCCUCGAAACGUCGAAGUUUUGUCUAUUUAUUUUCAGGUAGGCUAUCACAUUCACACCAAGAUUUACACAGAUGUUUUAUCGAAGAUUCUACCAGCGGUCAAGCGUUCGAGAUAAAUUCGCUAAUAUUGCAUAAAAACACGAUGUAGUUUAUAUUAUAUCUAUUUCACUUUAUAGAAUGUUUAUCUACAGCUGCACCCAAGACGAAAUACAUUAAUCCGUGUUCGUGUUGUCAGCAAGUAGUUGGAUAGUUUUUUCCACCGGCACAUAAUUUCGUGAACAAAGACGAGACAUAGGCCUAUUUUAAAAACGAUGUUGACAACAUUAUGUUGACAACAUUAUGUUGACAACAACAUACUGUACAGUAUUAAUGUUGUCUUUUUAUAAAUUAUAGUUGUACAUUUGCCUUUUUAUGUCAAUUACAGUAAACUUUAUUUCAAUUUAAUAUCGUGUGAUUUCACCACAUGCUUGAAUCAGGUUGUUUUACAUUACAUGAUUAUACCUUGUCAGUUUAUAUAAUUUUUAAACCGAAAUCCUCACAUGUAUCAUGUAUCCUCCUGACCACACAACUCACAAGUUAAACAUGUGUUAAUCAGAUACACAUGACACCAUUAAGUAGCCUUAUGGAGAUACCUAAUAGGAUAUGGAAACACAGCUAGUAGCUAUUGCAAAACUAAAAGGUAUAAAUUGUGAUGAACAAAAAGAAAAUAUAUAUGUUUCUCAUAGACAUAGGGAUGCCAGAGAGAGGGGCAAAUCUGCUCUUUUCUAAGGGGGCUGAAGUGCCCUUUUAAUGUAACGUGUGCAUAUACUAAAACCUCCAAAUACAAGAGACUUCAACAGUAAAUCUGAUUGAUUAUUUUAUGUUGAGACUUUAUAUUGCUUUAAUAAGCAUCAACCACAUAUGUGCCUCAAAGGGA
rnacentral:lncRNA from 1 species